rnacentral:lncRNA from 1 species
AUGCUGCGUGGAGACUCCCACAUGAUGGAUGAAGAAGCCCAGAUGGAGAGAGUGUUCCAGUUGGGCCCAGGCCUGGCUGACUUGCCCUCCGGAAGCAUCUGCAUCAGUGACCUCAGGCAAGACCAAUGGGAGAGCCAACCAGCUAAUCCACAGAAUUCUCCAUUAAAGAGAAGGGAAAAGAAGGUGUGGCUCUACAAAGAGAAAGAAAGAAGAGGCAAUGGCAGUUUUCUGAAGCCAGAAAUCAGAGAGAAAAGUGUUGCCCAGAUGGAGGGAUUCAAGGCAAGUAACGGGUGCCGGUCCCUUUGGAACCAACCCUAUGAAGUUCAAGAAAUCGUUUUCAACCCUCUAAAUUGUCUGGGUCUCUUCCUUGCCUGAAUUCUUUUAAUAAAUGUAGCAGACGUCACA